rnacentral:rRNA from 1 species
AACGAACGCUGGCGGCAGGCUUAACACAUACAAGUCGAGGGGCCCGCAAGGGCACCGGCGCACGGGUGCGUAACGCGUGGGAACAUGCCCUUGGGUGCGGAACAACGUUUGGAAACGAACGCUAAUACCGCAUAAUAUCUACGGAUCAAAGAUUUAUCGCCCAAGGAUUGGCCCGCGUUAGAUUAGGUAGUCGGUGAGGUAAUGGCUCACCAAGCCGACGAUCUAUAGCUGGUCUGAGAGGAUGAUCAGCCACACUGGAACUGAGACACGGUCCAGACUCCUACGGGAGGCAGCAGUGAGGAAUAUUGGACAAUGGGGGAAACCCUGAUCCAGCCAUGCCGCGUGAGUGACGAAGGCCUUAGGGUUGUAAAGCUCUUUCAGGUGCGAAGAUAAUGACAGUAACACCAGAAGAAGCCCCGGCUAAAUUCGUGCCAGCAGCCGCAGUAA